UCUGGGUCCAAGGCCUCUGUGGUCCUGUCAGAGGCCUUGGUGCUGAAGAGUGUCCUGAGCAUCUGUGCUGAUCCAAGGAUUCUUGGAUUGGGCCUCUUCUGUUUUGGUUGCAGGCCCCGGGCAUUCUGUCUGGCGGACAGCGAUGAGGAAUCCUCCAGCGCUGGCUCCUCUGAGGAAGACGAUGCCCCAGAGCCCAGCGGGGGAGACAAACAGCUCCUCCCAGGGGCUGAAGGGUACGUUGGAGGUCAUCGAACAAGUAAGAUUAUGAGGUUUGUUGAUAAAAUUACCAAGUCAAAAUAUUUCCAAAAAGCAACAGAGACAGAGUUUAUUAAAAAGAAGAUUGAAGAAGUCUCCAACACACCCCUGCUGCUCACUGUUGAAGUACAAGAAUGUAGAGGAACCUUGGCGGUCAACAUUCCACCACCCCCGACUGACCGAGUAUGGUAUGGUUUCCGAAAGCCACCACAUGUGGAGCUGAAAGCUCGGCCAAAACUUGGAGAGAGAGAAGUGACUUUAGUUCACGUGACAGACUGGAUAGAGAAGAAACUGGAGCAAGAGUUU
rnacentral:sRNA from 1 species